CCUACGGGGGGCAGCAGUGAGGAAUAUUGGUCAAUGGGCGCGAGCCUGAACCAGCCAAGUAGCGUGAAGGAUGACUGCCCUACGGGUUGUAAACUGCUUUUAUAAAGGAAGAAAGUGAGGCACGUGUGCCGUUUUGUAUGUACGGUAUGAAUAAGGAUCGGCUAACUCCGUGCCAGCAGCCGCGGUAAUACGGAGGAUCCGAGCGUUAUCCGGAUUGAUUGGGGGUAAAGGGAGCGUAGAGGGGUUGUUAAGUCAGUUGUGAAAGUUUGCGGCUCAACCGUAAAAUUGCAAUUGAUACUGGCAGCCUUGAGUCCAGUUGAGGUAGGCGGAAUUCGUGGUGUAGCGGU
rnacentral:rRNA from 1 species